UAUUUAAGUUUGAUUGCAUUACUUAUAAAAUAUAAGUAUAUUCUACUAAAUUGUGGAUGUAAUUUGAAUGUGUUAAUAAAUUUAAGUUAAAUGCACUUAAAUUAUUAAGUUUUUCUCCUGACCACGCCUCUUACACAUUGGUUUACGGCAGGUAAUGACGCCAUUUUGUCGUGGUGUGUGUGAAUUCAAGGAGCUGUUGAUGAGAAGUUGGAACAUUUGUUUUCGCAAGUUCUACAGAAUUUUUUUUCCAAACAUUUGCCUUUUUAUCGUCCACCCAUUUGUUCUCUCUCGCGUGCGGUGGAUCACCGUGCAUGAACCCCUGAUCGGCGAGUUCGACGCGCGUUAUUUCGUCGUUUGUUUCUUUUUCACACGAGGAGCUGUUGUUGGGCGUGUAAACUUAGUUUGAACCUCUGGCUGUCGGCGAACACCGCGGCCGCGCCCGCACGUGAUAUUGACAACCAACGAUUGUCAACUUACAACAUUUUUCACAGUCGAUCAAAAUAGGCAAGUAUUGUUUUAAUGGCAUAUUUACUUGUGAAUGUCCACUGAAUGUCCAAUGUAGUGUGAUUAACAAGACUAUUGAAUACGGAUGGCCGAAUGUGCGAAUAUAAAACCAACUUUACCGAAGUAGGAGGGAGGAUGAAGCGCGAAAAUGGUCAAGAAGAGAUGCUUUGGAUUAGAAGUAAAAGUUGUCAACGACGAGCCUGACAUCAGCCUGAUGGUACUUCAAUGGCCAGCUCUUUCUACAGUAAACCAGGUUGCAGCUGACAAGGACUUAUACAGGCAAACUUCAGUGAGAAUCGUCUGUGUUGAUCUAUAAAGUGCUCAGCUAAACCCAUCAUGAGUGAAGAUCGUCUUGGAAGGAUGUUUGGUGAUGGAUGAACCGACCAACCUCAGGACUUCUGUGUCCUUUUUUCUGACUGAUUUAUGCCCUGCAACUGGACUACCCUAACUGUAUGAAAAAUACUUUAUAUUUUAUUCAGCAGGUAAUGCUCAACCUAGGAAAAUGUGAGCUGGCACCUAAAAUGGAAUACUGCCACUAUUGUGAACUCAGGAGUGUGAACAAACCAUAUAGUUUUGAUGCAGUUUGUUGUGAUUCUGAGAUAGACUAUUUAUGUGCUUAACAAUAAGCUGAUUUGUUAAAACUAUUUUUUUCAUGUUUUAUAAGGAAAUGUUUUCAGGACAUAAAAUGUUGUUGUAUUUGGAAUUGAAUUAAAAUAAAACAUAAAAUUGAAUUAA